rnacentral:rRNA from 1 species
UGCCAGCCGCCGCGGUAAUACGAAGGGUGCUAGCGUUAUCCGGAAUCACUGGGCGUAAAGGGAGCGUAGGCGGUUUUGCAAGUCAGAAGUGAAAGGCUACGGCUCAACCGUAGUAAGCUUUUGAAACUGCAAGACUAGAGUGCAGGAGAGGCAAGUGGAAUUCCUAGUGUAGAGGUGAAAUUCGUAGAUAUUAGGAGGAACACCAGUGGCGAAGGUGACUAACUGGCAGAGUAUUGACGCUGAGGUGCGAAAGCGUGGGGAGCAAACAGGAUUAGAUA